GGGUCUGUAGCUCAGCUGGUUAGAGCGCACCCCUGAUAAGGGUGAGGUCGGUGGUUCGAUUCCACCCAGACCCACCA
rnacentral:tRNA from 1 species